GGAUUAGAUACCCUGGUAGUCCACGCCGUAAACGAUGAGUAUUUGGUGCUGGGGGAUUCGACCCUUUCAGUGCCGUAGCUAACGCGAUAAAUACUCCGCCUGGGGACUACGAUCGCAAGAUUGAAACUCAAAGGAAUUGACGGGGACCCGCACAAGCGGUGGAACAUGUGGUUUAAUUCGAUGCAACGCGAAGAACCUUACCUGGGUUUGGCAUCCCGAGAAUCCCGCAGAGACGUGGGAGUGCCUUUCGAGGAAUUCGGUGACAGGUGCUGCAUGGCUGUCGUCAGCUCGUGUCG
rnacentral:rRNA from 1 species